UACGUAGGAGACGAGCGUUGUCCGGAAUUACUGGGCGUAAAGCGCGUGUAGGCGGAUGGGCAAGUCUGCUGUGAAAGCUCCUGGCUUAACCGGGAGUGGUCGGUGGAAACUGCUAAUCUGGAGGACGGUAGAGGCUGGUGGAAUUCCCGGUGUAGUGGUGAAAUGCGUAGAGAUCGGGAGGAACACCCGUGGCGAAGGCGGCCAGCUGGGCCGGACCUGACGCUGAGACGCGAAGGCGUGGGGAGCGAACAGG
rnacentral:rRNA from 1 species